UACGGAGGGGGCAAGCGUUGUUCGGAGUUACUGGGCGUAAAGCGCGCGUAGGCGGUGCGGUAAGUCAGGGGUUAAAGGCUGCAGCUCAACUGCAGUAAGGCCUUUGAUACUAUCGCGCUAGAGUACCAGAGAGGAUGGCGGAAUUCCCGGUGUAGCGGUGAAAUGCGUAGAUAUCAGGAGGAACACCGGUGGCGAAGGCGGCCGCCUGGACAGGUAUCGACGCUGAGGCGCGAGAGCGUGGGGAGCAAACAGG
rnacentral:rRNA from 1 species